rnacentral:rRNA from 1 species
UACGUAGGGCGCAAGCGUUGUCCGGAAUUAUUGGGCGUAAAGAGCUCGUAGGCGGUUUGUCGCGUCUGCUGUGAAAACUCGAGGCUCAACCUCGGGCUUGCAGUGGGUACGGGCAGACUAGAGUGCGGUAGGGGAGACUGGAAUUCCUGGUGUAGCGGUGGAAGUGACGCAGACUAUCAGGAAGAACACCCGUGGCGAAGGCGGCUCUCUGGAACGCAACUGACGCUGAGACGCGAAAGCGUGGGGAGCAAACAGG